GAGGUGUCAUGCGCUAUUCGACACAUGCACGCGCAUCCCCCUCUCCCCCACCACCACCACCACCACUGAAAUCAUUCCGGCGCCACUGGCCAAGGUGAUAGUUAAGUCUGAGGGGAUCUGUCAGAAGUCUUCAUCCACGCUGGAUGAAGACUUGACUCGCCUGGGUGAGACAAAGCUGGAGGAGAAAGAGGCACGGGCAGGACCGAAGUUUGUCAACGUUGCUAGCCAACACUGAGGAACUUCCUGUACUGUGGAACGUGAAUCAAAUCCCUGGGGAACCAAGAAUAACAACAGCUGCUGCACCUUGCCCCGCAGCCAUAACUCGUGUGCCUCCGGGAAGCUGAGGAGCCGAGCUGAGGAGCCCAGGUCAUUUGAGGCCUACUUUCUGCUGCUUUUGGUCGACAAGACUAACUGACGUCGCCGGAGGUGAUGAUGAGG
ensembl:lncRNA